UACGGGGGGGCAAGCGUUGCUCGGAAUCACUGGGCGUAAAGGGUGCGUAGGCGGGUCUUUAAGUCAGGGGUGAAAUCCUGGAGCUCAACUCCAGAACUGCCUUUGAUACUGAGGAUCUUGAGUUCGGGAGAGGUGAGUGGAACUGCGAGUGUAGAGGUGAAAUUCGUAGAUAUUCGCAAGAACACCAGUGGCGAAGGCGGCUCACUGGCCCGAUACUGACGCUGAGGCACGAAAGCGUGGGGAGCAAACAGG
rnacentral:rRNA from 1 species